rnacentral:rRNA from 1 species
UACGUAGGGUGCGAGCGUUGUUCGGAAUCAUUGGGCGUAAAGCGCGUGUAGGCGGUUAGGUAAGUCUCGUGUGAAAUCCCUGGGCUCAACCGAGGAAGUGCACGGGAAACUGCCUAGCUGGAAGAUGCUAGAGGAAGGUGGAAUUCCUAGUGUAGAGGUGAAAUUCGUAGAUAUUAGGAGGAAUACCGGUGGCGAAGGCGGCCUUCUGGAGCAUUCUUGACGCUGAGACGCGAAAGCGUGGGUAGCAAACAGG